GUUUCAGUUUACUCUGCAGUUUAGAGAUUAACGCUGCAAUGUUUAUCCUUCAGUUUUAGUUUAGAGAUUAUUUAUAGGAGGUAAAGCUAAGUGGCUAGCGCCGUAUGUGAUCGAUCUGAAUGAAUGGCAGUUUAAUUCGACUUAUUAAACUUCUCAAACUGAAUGGCAUGUGUCAAUCAUAAACAGUAUUAAACUUCUGCCGGGUGUUUUAUUAUUCAUAGAUUAUGAAAAAUCCUUCAAUUUUUGAACUUGAAAUUAGUAGGGGAGUUAUUGAAUUUUAACUUGAACCGCAGAGGGAACUGACUCUGUUUCUGAAAACUUCGAACUUUUAAUAUUUAUCCAGGUGCACCGUGGUCGAUUAGUGACAAAUUGGUCACAAGUUAACUGCGCUGUGGAACUAUUUUACGGUAACUGAGGGAUAUAUUGACCAGUUUAAAGUUUUUUCAUAUAUUUUUGACUUGUUUGAAGAGUGAUGUAUUGUUUCGCAAGGAGGCUUUGUCAAAUAUAGUUUUUUUUUAAAUAAUCAUACGCACUCAUGUUA
rnacentral:lncRNA from 1 species